GCUUAGGUUUACCUAUUGCUUGGUCUUGGAGAUGGAAGCCAAUUUAUUGGAAUCCUCUUCGAAAUUCAAUGGCGAAGACCCUUGCUCUCCCAAGUGUAGUAAUAACUUAUGUCACUGAAGGAAGCGAGAAAUCUUCUGCCGUAACCCCCAUAUUUUCUAUGAUUGACCUCGGAUCAGGUAGGGAUACCCGCUGAACUUAA
rnacentral:misc_RNA from 1 species